CACCUGGGCCAUCCGGGGAGCUGAGAUACAAUGGCUCCUACCCUCGGGGUGUCCACGGUUGAGGGGCUCAACCCGAAUCACCAGGGAACUCCUUCCCAUGUGAGAUUAGGCAGCAGUGCAGCUAAUCGAGGCCAACACCUUUGUGUUGAAAAACAGUGGACCUGGCAUUCCUGCUGUGGCAUAAUGGGUUAAGGAUCCAGUGUUGCCACAGCUGUAGUGUAGGUCGCAGCUGUGGCUCAGAUUUGAUCCCUGGGCUGAGAAUAACACUAUGCCACGGGUUCAGCCAAAAAAGGAGAGAAAAAAACAAAAAACAAAAUAAUGGACCUUGAACAUGGUGGGUGUUAGGGGCAGUUGAGUAUCUGCACAUAACUUACAGCCAACAUUCUACAUGCAGAUCUAAUUCCUCCCAUCCUCGGAUCCAACAGUCUGGAUGUGUGGUCCUGCAGUAUUUACUUUGGAAAAAAUCCCCAUGGGCAUGGCUCUGCACAGCUCAACCCUGUGUUGUUCAAGGGUCAACCGUAGUUACUUUCCUAGAGAAGCAAUGUCUAUCAAUACAGCAGUGAUCUGGAAUUUCUACUGUGGCUCAGCAGGUUAAGAACCCAACUAGUAUCCACGAGGAUGUGGGUCCGAUCCCUGGCCUCCCUCAGUGGGUUAAGGAUCUGGUGUUGCCGGGAACUGUGUGGCUCCUGUAGCCUCUAGGAGCCCACAGGCCAUGAUGCACAUUUUCUCAUGGGUUGUAUCUAAUAACCUCAUUGACCAAACUUGAAAAAUAUCUUGCACCUACUUCCUGCCUUCUUCCUCGUAAGUGCGCUAGCUGCUCUCCGAUACAUUCUGACACUUACUGAAAUUAGACUUCAACACACACUGAUAUACAAUUCCCACAGCAGGAGAGAAAUGCUAAAAAUUAUGCGUAGCAUUCACUGACAUAUACACACACACACGUCACUAGUGUGUGUGUGUGUGUGUGUGUGUGUGUGUGUUUAAUCCAGGGCACUUUAACAAUCACAAUAUUUAUUCCUUUGUAUGAAAGCACUGGAUUUCUUUAAAAUUAACUGAAAGAACUGAAAAGCUCCAAACAGGAUCAAAUCCUUAAAUUUCUUCUCCAAAGUAGCAGGUAAUAUAUCACAUACAGGCGGGUGUUCUGUCGAUUCCAUUCUCUUCAUUUUUGGAAGGCUUUUUAUGUUCUUCUUUGGGAAAUCAUUUCUGCCUUUCCUAUUUACAUAAAGGGCCCAGGCUGAAACAUUCCCAAGGUUUACAAUAAAAGCAUGCAUUUCCCAUUAGUUUAUUCAUUCAUCCAAAUGCCACAGUCCCCUGAACCCGCCCAUUUCACAGAGGCUGAAUCAGGCCCUCCCAAGGCUUCUCAAACACUCUGUGUGGCUCCAGCAGAGCUCUGACUGCACCUUAGACCACCUGUCCCCUAUCCCCCAGUGAGCUGGGAAACAAAUCAAGUAUAAAGACCUUUUUCCCUUUUUUUGCCACAGAACCUCCUCAGUUCCUGCAACUCCAUAGGUGGGUGCUCGAGAAAGGUAGAAAAACCCUAACUGACUCUAUUUCCAUCACCAGCGACUGUACUACUUGCAACCAGGUGCUGUCAGUCCUCCCCUGGAGGAGUAAUUCCACUUCUGGACAUUUAGAGAAAAGACAGGCAGAGGUCAGGCAACCAGUGCGUGCGCAAUUUAGAAUGUACGUGCUGGGGUCGGGGAGGCAGACACGUGCGGAGCACAGAAAGGUCCAGAAGUUCUUUCCAGUGCCUCGAGCUCCUGAGAGUACUAGAAAGAGCCAGAACACCCCCUUGCCACCUGCACUCUAGAGCAUAGGCAUUCAGCCACACCUCCACCUUCUGCCCAGAAUGUCACCUGCCAGUGGUAGGGGGCGGGGGGGAUGUUACCUCAAACAUCGGACCAGCCUGCAGGGAGAGAGAAACUACUGAUGCCACAGCUUUCUUUCCUUUUCAUUCACGGACAAGGCCUAUUCAAAGCAUGCUAUUUGUUGGGAAGGGGCGGGCGUUAAAAUGCUUAUGAGAUGUAAAAAGCUUAGAUACACUUCCUGGCAACUGGUAAGCACUGUCUCUCCUAGCUAUUAAUAUCGUUUUCUAUUUGGCGGGAACAAAGGUAAAAGGUAAACCAUGCCAUUUAGCUCAGAGUUAUCCUCCUGAUCCUCUGACCAGACCACUGUGUCAUUAUCCACAUGUGCAAAUGAACAGAGCUGGGAAAUCAAAAUCCUAAAACAAGCGGGCACUCUCCCCUGUAAGUUUAGAGCAACAGCUUUGCUUAUGUGGAGGCGGCAAAUUAAAGAGGCACUGCUUCUUCUGAACUCCCUAGAAACCAUCCAGGGGUGCCCACCCCUCCUUUAAAACCUGCCUCUAGGAGUUCCCGUCAUGGCGCAGUGGUUAACGAAUCUGACUAGGAACCAUGAGGUUGCAGGUUCGAUCCCGGCCCUUGCUCAGUGGGUUAACAGUCCGGCGUUGCCAUGAGCUGUGGUGUAGCCUGGGAAGCUCCAUAUGCCGCAGGAGUGGCUCUAGAAAAGGCAAAAACAAAAAAACAAAAAAAACCCUGCCUCUAACCUGGAGAGGGGGUGGCAGGAGAGAAAGAGGAAGAAGAAUGUUCCCCUUUCACCCCAUCAGAGAGCCUUUUCUCUUUAGUAACAAGGGGAGUUGAAAUGAGACCAUAUUCUGGGCACUUUUGGAGUCUUUGAAGCCAAACUGCCUGUGUUCACCAGCCAAGCCUCACUGUUUAAUCUUCAUUGACCAGUAUCUGAGCAUCAUGUACUCGUGUGUCGGCUGAUAGAUACGCAGAGCAGAGAGGAAGUAACGAACCCCACUCUCAGGGACCCUAAUUGCUUUUUUUAAAAGAGGUGAACGUAUGUAAAGAUUCAGUAUCUCCCCAAUCUGCAGCAAGGCCAUGGCACUCCAGAAAACAUCUGGCAGAGAAUCCCACUUUUUAAGGGGCUAUCCCCUCCUCUGAAAAUCUAAUAAACCACAGCUCCUGGAAAAAGGAACACAGAUGAAGUUUGCAUGUAUAUUCCCGCAGGUUAGUGAGCCCAGGGUUAGGAAAGUGAGUCUGAAGAACACAGGCAUCCUCACUUCUGGAAGGACUGCCAGCCUCCCUUCAUUAGCUGCUCUCAGAUAUACACCACUCCCUGCCUUUUAAGGAAAUCGAGCUCUUUGAAAUGAGCAGAACUUUCAGGGUCAAAGGGCACAGUUUUGAAGUAGGCCUGCUAGUGAACAAAACCUUACCUAAAUUAUUACACUCAUUUUUUUUUAAAGUGUACAUUAUGAAAAAGUUAUUUUAUGAUUCGUAAACAUUCACAGAAAUCAGAACGAGCAGAGUGAAGCCCCACUCCGCUGCAAAGCAGUGGAUUCCUCUGAUGAAUAAAUCAGAAUGAUUCACAAUGAGUGUAAUUAGCUUACUCGACACGUAAGCGAAGGCUUUUGCUGGGCUGGAGCAGGACCCUUGAAAAGGAGUCUAUGUUCUGAGCUGUUUCAAACACAGCGCCUCCUUCCCAUUUGACUUACCUUCCUGUGUCAACACUAAGUGGCCUAAUUUGUGAAUAAAGAGCCAAUGGGUAUCAACAAGACCAGCUUCAGAAGACAGGACAUUCUUUGGUAUUCACUGAGUAGGACUUUACCAAGUACGGGAUGGCUUCAGAUUCCACUUCAGGUUGGUCAAAAGUACUCUACCCUUCCGUGGUGACACCUGUGUCCCUACUGGGCACCUCACAAACACAGGUGAGCAAUCACCUUCAAGAUACAGGACUGGGUUUUCUGGGUCACUAAGAGCAGGUUGACAUCCGGGCACUUCAGGACUCCGCCCACUCAACUGAACUCCCAGGUGUCUCUUUUGCAGCAAAGGGACACCACCACUCCCAGGCAGAGUAUCCUGGGUGGCAGCCUUCUAAACAUUGCCUCAUGCUUCAUCCCCAAGAUGUAACUGUGAGCCAAGGAGUUGUUUUAUUUCAUUUUGGCCACCCAUGCAGCAUAUGGAAGUUCCUGGGCCAGGGACAGAUUCUGAGCCAGAGCUGUGACCUAUGCCACAGCUACAGCAAUGUGGAUCCUUAAGCCACUGUGCCACAGCGGGAACUCCAAGGAGGUGGUUUAGACCAAGGGGGCUCCCAAAGAAUGUCUUGCUUAGGAAGUUCAAGCCACUCACCCCUUCAUGCUGGAGGACAUGAGGUCUGGGGGCAGCAAAGAGAGGACAAAAAGAGGGGCCUUCUGCAGCUACUUCUCAUUUCUCAUAAUAGGAUUUAUGAAAAUCAGC
rnacentral:lncRNA from 1 species